rnacentral:lncRNA from 1 species
AUUCAGGAAACUUUGUUGUUUACACAUGUGUCUACAAUUGAGAAGCUAGAGCAGCCUUGCAAGCCCAGAGGGAAGGUGUGGUUAUUGACCCUUUCCAAUUAAAUGAGGCGAUGAAGACCAAUUCAGAUUUUACUGAUGUAUUCAAAAGUAUUGGUUCUGGAAACUGUGCUAUGGUCCCUGCGCUCAGACUACAAGCAAUAAAUCUGCCUUCAGAGGAGGAAGGAGCUAAAAUUUCAGCUUUGCAAAUCCAUUUGGUUAAGUUACAGCAAACCUUACAGAAAGAAAGAGAAAUGCGUGCAGCUUUGGAAAAAGAAAUAGAACAAAUGGAGUCAGCUUUGUCUCUGUGGAAACGGAAGUAUGAAGAACUGAAAGGAUCAAAGGCAUCAAAUGGGAAAGAGGUAUGGCAACAAAUGAUGCAAAGGAAUAAAUAAAAGCCAAGGUUCCCCCUCUUUGGCUCUGUAACCUAGUGGGCAAAAGCAGAAGGCUCAACAGAAGAUAGAGAAUGAUAAAAAAAUUGCUCUAAGAAAAUUUUCUCUGAAAGAGAAUAUUGGAAAUCAAACUUCAAUAGUUUACAUAGACUGAG